ensembl:snoRNA SNORD18 Small nucleolar RNA SNORD18
UAGGAUGAUGAGACUCCACUGUGGUCCGUGUUUCUGAAGUCCAUGAUUUGUGGAACUUCUGACCUC